ACAGGUUUUGAUAAAUCUCCCUCUUUUUCUUGUUCCUCAAGCCAUUCCUGAACAUUUUUUGCAGUGUGACAGGGUGCAUUAUCCUACUGAAAGAGGCCACUGUUAGUAGGGAAUGCUAUUAGCAUGAAAGGGUGUACUUCCUCUGGGACAAUGUUUUGCUAGAGAUUUUCGUUCAAUUGAUACCUCAGUAAAGAAUCGCAGCGCUACCAUGAUUGUCAUUACCACCAUCCUGCCCAUUCUCUUUGCUUUGCUGUUGGCCCUCUUUACUAGUAUGCUAUUCAUGAGCUGUUGCUGUUGCCGGGUUUUCACACCCAAGAAAUGUCAGGAGUCCUGAAUAAGAAUAAAAGUUCUGGAGCAUGCAGCAUCGGAGAUCUACGUAUUUCAUCUAUUAUUUAUAUAUAUGUGAUAUCUUUGCUAAAUCCACUCUUGCUUUAAAAUUAUAUAGACAUACAUAUAUAUAU